rnacentral:rRNA from 1 species
AUGACGCUAGCAGGCUAACACAUGCAAGUCGAGGAGAGGUUCCUUCGGGUACCAGACCGGCGGCACGGGUGGUAACGCGUAUCAAUCGUGCCUUUCCAUAGGAUAGCCAGAAAUUUGGAUUAAUACUAAUGGUAUAUAAAGCGGCAUCGUUUUUAUAUUAAAGCUACGGUGGUGAAAAUGAGUAUGCGUUCUAUUAGCUAGUUGAGAGGUACGGCUCCCCAAGGGACGAUAGAUAGGGGUUCUAGAGGGAUGUCCCCCACACUGGUACUGAGAUACGGCCAGACUCCUACGGGAGGCAGCAGUGAGGAAUAUUGGACAAUGGUCGAACUGAUCCAGCCAUCGCGUCAGGAUGAAGGUCCUAUGGAUUGUAAUGCUUUUGUAAGGGAAGAAUAAGGAGUACGUGUACUUUGAUGACGGUACCUUACGAAUAAGCAUCG